rnacentral:rRNA from 1 species
ACGGACGCUGACGACAGGCCUAACACAUGCAAAUCGAACGCCCCGCAAGGGGAGCGGCGAACGGGUGAGUAACACGUGGGAAUUUUCCUCAAGGUACGGAACAACUCAAGGAAACUUGGACUAAUACCGUAUGAUGCAGAGAUGCCAAAGAUUUAUCGCCUUGGGAUAAGCCCGCGUCAGAUUAGGUAAUUAAUAAAAUAAUAACCUACCAAACCUAUGAUCUGUAACUGGUCUGAGAGGACGAUCAACCACAUUGGGACUGAGACACAACCCAAACUCCUACGGGAGGCAACAGUGGGAAAUCUUGCACAAUGGACGAAAGUCUGACGCAACCAUGCCGCGUGAAUGAUGAAGAUCUUAGGAUUGUAAAAUUCUUUAGCCUGUGACGAUGAUGACGGUAACAGGAGAAUAAGCCCCGGCUAACUUCGU